UACCACCCAGCCCCGGGCCGGCCGCCCCUGCUCUUCUAUACUGCGUUCUCACCAACUCGGCUUAGACGUUUUUACUCUCUUCCAUUCCUUAUGCGCUGAAAUCCUUACUCUAGGGGAUACAAAGAUUAUCCCAACGCUUACUGUGGGCUUAACACAGUGCAAGUGCUGGCGGUGAAGUGAAGACCAGGACGGACAUGUUCCCUCACAGAGUCCGGCCGGUGGGCAAUUCAUAGACUAGGUGAUGGGAAGCUGGAUAUGGUGGACACGAAGAUGAUUAAAACACACCAAACCUGCUUUCAAAUGGCCUGUCUACAACCUGCUAGGGGAUAUACAUACACAGAGCCAACUUUAUUGCACGAUGUGUCAUAAUAACAUGGUUCCCCCUCUGGUAAUGUAUACAGGACAUUCCAGAUGGUACAUGGAUGCCAUGGGAAGAUAGAGAAACAGGAAAAUGACCCGUAGAAAUAAUGAAGAAGGCCAGAGCAAUUGGGAGCUCACCUGAGUGGACUCCAUAAAGAAAGGGUUGGUCCUGGCCCUCUCAGGAUGUAACUUACAGUGACUCAAUCAGAAGAAUAAAGAAAUGCUUUAUACCUCCUC